UAUCCGUAGGUGAACCUGCGGAUGGAUCAUUAACGAUACGUGGCGUUCCUCACCGAACACACGUUCAUACCAACCAAACCUGUGCGAGGAGAGACAAACGACUGUUGUUGGUCUUCACGGAUCAACACACGGCUGGUUAUCCCUCCGUUUCUUUCUAUUUCUUUUUCUUUACAAACCUUAAAACCCCAUUUCUUCGUUUUCGAAGGACUGAAACCACACUGUUUCAAAUCGAAAGUAAGCGUCGACUUUUGCAUUGUUUCUAUUAGACCUUCAUGGGUCGAACGGACGUUAUGUGCAAAUCUCCGACUCUUCGAUUAGAUAUGAAAUCCUGUACAACUCUUAGCAACGGAUAUCUUGGUUCUC
rnacentral:misc_RNA from 1 species